rnacentral:tRNA from 1 species
GGGUUUGUGGUUCAAUGGCAGAGCCCUUGCCUGGCAUGCAUGAGGCACUGGGUUCCAUCCCCAGCACCA